AGUGAACGCUGGCGGUAGGCCUAACACAUGCAAGUCGAACGGCAGCACAGGAGAGCUUGCUCUCUGGGUGGCGAGUGGCGGAUGGGUGAGGAAUACAUCGGAAUCUACUUUUUCGUGGGGGAUAACGUAGGGAAACUUACGCUAAUACCGCAUACAACCUACGGGUGAAAGCAGGGGACCUUCGGGCCUUGCGCGAUUGAAUGAGCCGAUGUCGGAUUAGCUAGUUGGCGGGGUAAAGGCCCACCAAGGCGACGAUCCGUAGCUGGUCUGAGAGGAUGAUCAGCCACACUGGAACUGAGACACGGUCCAGACUCCUACGGGAGGCAGCAGUGGGGAAUAUUGGACAAUGGGCGCAAGCCUGAUCCAGCCAUACCGCGUGGGUGAAGAAGGCCUUCGGGUUGUAAAGCCCUUUUGUUGGGAAAGAAAUCCAGCUGGCUAAUACCCGGUUGGGAUGACGGUACCGUAAGAAUAAGCACCGGCUAACUACGUGCCAGCCGCCGCGGUAA
rnacentral:rRNA from 1 species